GCCCGCUUGGUGGAAUCGGUAGACACAACAGACUUAAAAUCUGUCGAUCCUAAAGGUCAUGCCAGUUCGAGUCUGGCAGCGGGCA
rnacentral:tRNA from 1 species